UACAGAGGGUGCAAGCGUUGUUCGGAAUUACUGGGCGUAAAGCGCGUGUAGGCGGUUUGUUAAGUCUCGUGUGAAAGCCCUGGGCUCAACCCAGGAAGUGCGCGAGAUACUGGCGGACUGGAGUGGCGGAGAGGAUGGCGGAAUACCCGGUGUAGAGGUGAAAUUCGUAGAUAUCGGGUGGAACACCUGUGGCGAAGGCGGCCAUCUGGACGUCAACUGACGCUGAGACGCGAAAGCAUGGGGAGCAAACAGG
rnacentral:rRNA from 1 species